rnacentral:rRNA from 1 species
UACAGAGGUCUCAAGCGUUGUUCGGAUUCGUUGGGCGUAAAGGGUGUGUAGGUGGCGCCGUAAGUCGGGUGUGAAAUUUCGGAGCUUGACUCCGAAACUGCAUUCGAUACUGCGGUGCUUGAGGACUGGAGAGGAGACUGGAAUUCAUGGUGUAGCAGUGAAAUGCGUAGAGAUCAUGAGGAAGACCAGUGGCGAAGGCGGGUCUCUGGACAGUUCCUGACACUGAGACACGAAGGCCAGGGGAGCAAACGGG